rnacentral:sRNA from 1 species
UAAUCACUUGGGGUUGUCUAUAUGGUC